UACGGAGGGUCCAAGCGUUGUUCGGAUUUAUUGGGCGUAAAGCGAGUGUAGGCGGCAUAGCAAGUCGGAUGUGAAAUCCCAGGGCCCAACCCUGGAACUGCAUCCGAUACUGCUAGGCUAGAAUUCCGGAGAGGGUGGCGGAAUUCCCGGUGUAGGGGUGAAAUCCGUAGAUAUCGGGAGGAACACCAGUGGCGAAGGCGGCCACCUGGACGGUAAUUGACGCUGAGACUCGAAAGCGUGGGUAGCAAAC
rnacentral:rRNA from 1 species